GUUUGAUUUCAUGCUCAGGACGAACGCUGGCGGCGUGCCUAAUACAUGCAAGUCGAGCGGACAGAUGGGAGCUUGCUCCCUGAUGUUAGCGGCGGACGGGUGAGUAACACGUGGGUAACCUGCCUGUAAGACUGGGAUAACUCCGGGAAACCGGGGCUAAUACCGGAUGGUUGUCUGAACCGCAUGGUUCAAACAUAAAAGGUGGCUUCGGCUACCACUUACAGAUGGACCCGCGGCGCAUUAGCUAGUUGGUGAGGUAAYGGCUCACCAAGGCAACGAUGCGUAGCCGACCUGAGAGGGUGAUCGGCCACACUGGGACUGAGACACGGCCCAGACUCCUACGGGAGGCAGCAGUAGGGAAUCUUCCGCAAUGGACGAAAGUCUGACGGAGCAACGCCGCGUGAGUGAUGAAGGUUUUCGGAUCGUAAAGCUCUGUUGUUAGGGAAGAACAAGUACCGUUCGAAUAGGGCGGUACCUUGACGGUACCUAACCAGAAAGCCACGGCUAACUACGUGCCAGCAGCCGCGGUAAUACGUAGGUGGCAAGCGUUGUCCGGAAUUAUUGGGCGUAAAGGGCUCGCAGGCGGUUUCUUAAGUCUGAUGUGAAAGCCCCCGGCUCAACCGGGGAGGGUCAUUGGAAACUGGGGAACUUGAGUGCAGAAGAGGAGAGUGGAAUUCCACGUGUAGCGGUGAAAUGCGUAGAGAUGUGGAGGAACACCAGUGGCGAAGGCGACUCUCUGGUCUGUAACUGACGCUGAGGAGCGAAAGCG
rnacentral:rRNA from 1 species